GCGGCUUUGGCGGAAUUGGCAGACGCGCAGGAUUUAGGUUCCUGUAUCUCUGAUGUGCGGGUUCAAGUCCCGUGAGCCGCA
rnacentral:tRNA from 1 species